AAGCGCUUUUGACCUUUCAAACGACGCGCUAUGAACCGCCGCCGCCUGGUAAUUAAGUAACACGACCCCGAGCUUUUUUUUUCUUCCCCUUAAGCCGACGCUAUCUUACUUCACGAAACCAAGGCAUCUCACUACCAAUUUCCAAAAUAGCUGUUAAUAUUCUCAACCAGCAUUCAUCUACGUUAAAAGAAACCAUUAUGUCGACCAAGACAUGGGAGAUAUUCUCAUUUAAAUGUGCCAGUGAAAGGGCACUAAAGCAAGGCAAACCUUUAGAGAGUAAGCAAUUUGGAGCAGAGUCGCACUUGUGGAAGCUGAAGUAUGCACCUGAGACAGAAUUGUUUCACGUUCACCACCUUUGUGAUGACAAAGUUGAUGUAAAUAUAGUGAUGAUGAUUGGAGAUAUGAAAAAAAAGAUACUAAUUUAAAGCUGGCCAAAGGACAAAGAGCCACCUUCAAUUUUCAAGUUCCGGAUGUAGAAAAAGUUGAAGUCCAUGUGGCCAUUAUGGAACACAAACAAAAGGUGUCUUGAAGAAAUACUUCCAAUAGGAGUAAUAGAAGGGUUUAGGGAAUAAAAGCCAUACACGAAGCCAAGAACGAAAAAGAAAAAGAAAAACUGAGAGCGGAACAGAAGACAACAGCAAAAAAAAGAAUUGCAAAAAGUUGAGGAGUAGAGAGAGAGAGAGAUACAGGACCUAGAGGAAGAAAUUGAGAAGAAGAUGGAGCUAUUGAGGAAGAAAGAAGAGGAAUUAGGGGACUUGAGAAAGAAACUGAAGAGGCUGAGACGGAGACAGCGGGAAAGCAAAAGGAGGGAAAAGAAAUGAGGUAGCAUGCAAAGUUGAAAAAAAAAAGACUAAGGUUGGCAUGUCCGAGUCGACAAAGAAUGAAGAGAAAGGAAAGCCAGAAAAUGAAAUAAACAUAAAAAAGAAUAUGUAAAAUCAAGAGAGCAAUUCUUUGUUAUCCCCUGGAAAUACGUCGAAAGUGUUACAGUUAAAUUGAAAAUAUUUGCUUUUUUUUGUUGUUGUUUAUUUUUCUGCAUCCUAAUUAUUAUGUAAAUUGUUUGAUUUCUAAUAAAUCUUGUUAUUUAUAUGCGAAAAUUGUAUUUUGUAAAUUAACAGAUUAAGUGUGAAAAUAAAUGGAUAACUUAUGCUAUCAAAA